UGUUCUUUGUUCCUUUGUCUCAGCUGUGGACAAAAGCUUCCCUGGCAGGGAGUUACAAAGUUAUUUCUGCAAAAGGCCUUUGGCCAAAAGCAAUAAAGUCCGACUUGAACAGAGUCAUUACUCACGCCUAAUUGUGGGCUGGUUCUCAGUGUAGACUGCCACAGUGAGGACUGACCAUUCCACCUUUUUAGCCCCCUCCUCCUUUUCAGCCCCACAUUUUCUUAGCCCUGCUUACCCCCACAGAACAUGUAUUUAUGUUUCCAGAGACUGUCGUUUCCUUCGAGAAGAAUAUAAAAGGAAUAAAAGAAGCUGGGGGAAGGAGUCAGAAGCAACUUUUAACCAAAUCACCCGCUACAUUUGGAGAUGCGAAUGGAGUGCCUUUGGAAUGACAGGUCGGCUUCCCAACGUGGCUUGCUGUGCGAUCUAAUUAGCAGCCGGAAAUAGCCUGGAGCCAGAAGCAAACUGCCCCCAUCUUCUGGAGGGGGAUAUCGAGGCAUGGCAGGGGUUCUAGGAGUUGACUUUGCCCCAUAAAGUGGAAAGAAGCUUCCAGACCCCCAGCAGCACCUGAGCUAUGGGGCCCUGGAGCUGGAGAAGCUGCCACACAGGUUUGGGCAUUCCACUUAUAGUGGACUUUCAAAGUCCAUUCAUUCGUUUUAAAAUGUUCAUUGCUCUGCCAGGGGUGGAGUCACCUAUGCAGGGGUGGUGCAGAGAUUUCUAACUAUUUUUGUCCAUCUGGUCCCCUUCUUUUGAAAGCACCCCAGCUUCCUUUUGAGGAUUCCCUCCCCUCUGCCAAGAUGCCCCCAUCCUCUCUGCCAAGGGGUGAUCAUGUGACCAAGGUCAGUCAAUCAGACUUUCUCACCAUGUCCCCAACUGUCAUAUAAAGUGUCAAGGGCAGAAAGAAAAAGCAGGGGUGCAUUUGUCACAUUGAGAUGGAAACCCUCCUUCAGGAGGCUGCUAGUAACUCCUGCACCAAGGUCCCCAGAAUUUCCUCAGUUCCUGUCCUGUCCUUUCCUAAGCCCCCCAGUAAAUCCUAUUCCAGCUUGAGGUAGUAAGUGUUGGGCUCUACUACUUGCAGUCCGUGAUGAAUGGGUACUUUGGUGGACUCCAAAAAGCCACACUGCCUGGUAUUCAAACCCUUGUGUGGACCCCACCUCAUGAAACUGGGCUGGCUUUGUGACCUGUUUUGACCAAGAGAAGGUGGCGGAAGUGAUGUUGUGCCAGUUUUGCGGUUAAGCCUUAAGAGGCCCUGGCAGCUUUCAUUUCUGCACUCUUAGAAGUCAGGCUACCCUGAACCUGCCAUACUGCGAGGAACCCCAAGUAGCCAUAGGGCAGAGCCCACAUGGAGAAUAACUGAGCUCCCAUCUGGUGACCAGCAAGAGCUGCCAGCCAUUUGAAUGGGGUUGUUUUAGACCUGCCAGCUGAUAUCACAUGAAGCUGAAGAACCACCUGGUCAACCCACAGAAUCGUCCAAAAUAAAAUGUUGUUACCUUAAACCACUGAGUUUGGAGUGGUUUGUUAUACAGCAGAAACACAACCCAAGAAUCCUCAGUGACACUGAUCAGAGCCCAUUCCCCCAACAGAAAUGUCACAGAUGACUAUGAGGUUAAGACUUUCAGCCUCCUCGGCUAAUGAACACUUGGAGGAGAACAUCAUUCAUUCAUUCCUUUAAUCAUUCAUUCAAACAGCCAGUAAGCCUAGCACGGAUGGUACAAAGAUGAACAAGCUUCAGGACUUCCUAUUCUAGUGAGGGCAUCACACACAGUGCCUCAGUUUCCUUACUGAUAAAGUGAAGAUGAUAUUAGUCCCUGCUUCAAAGGCUUGCUGUGAUGAUGAAAUGCUGGGCAAAAAGUAACCAAUAGAUAUUAGACAUUAUUAUUACUAUACACUUGCAAUGCACAAUGUAAGUGUCUAGGGAUACUUACAAUGUCCCUGGAAGUGUAGCCAUUUGGUACAAAGUGUCACAACGGGAGACAAACUCAAAUGCCUACGUGGGCCAGGCAGGUAAUGUAAAUGGGUGAAGUGGACCCAUAAGAAAACUCCACACCCCAGUUCCUCUCCAGCUCUCAUCUGGCCACUUUUGGUAGAGAUAGAACAGAGAAAUAUUGCUCCACAAUGAGAAAAACAGAAGGGAAAGUGCAAUGAAAAGUCAAAUGAAUUGGUUCACAAUCUCAGGCUAUAGGGGAUGGUGGGGACCACAUCUCCCCAUUUUUCAGGAGAAGCUGAAAAUCCAGAUUUUUAAAAUGUGAAAUCUCGUAGUUGUUACAAAUCUGAUAACUUUUUAAAAGGUUCAAACAAAACAUUUCUGUGAGCUGAACAAAGCCCCUGGUCAGGUGGCUUGUGAUGUCCUAUUCUACCAGCAUGGCAGAGCAAUGAGAGACUUCGUUGUGUCUCUUUCCUCCUUUGUAAAACGGGGUUGGAAGAUCCCCACAACGCUGAGUUAUUACACAUUCACACGAACGAGCACUUAAACCACCACUAGCCUGUAGAAAGUGCUCGGUAAAUAUGAGCUUCAGGAGGGUAGGUUGGGCAGUGGAGGUUAAAGAGGCUGCUCUCCUGGGCUGUGACAGCUGUUCUCUCAGGAAGGGACAAUUUAGGGAAGGGAGUUGUCUUUUCAAGGGCACAUGCAGAAAUAUUCAACCCAAGAGCCCUCAUUAGAAUGUCACACCACUGACCUGGAAGACUAGCUUGGCCCAAGAGUCAUCAGAAGUGGGGGGUUCCACCAGCCCUUCUGCAAGGCCAUGAGGUCCCUGCCGUGGCAUAAAGGGGACGACCCUUCCUCUGCAAGCAAUGCUAGCACAAAACCCCAGCUCUGGCACUGGGGAGCAAGUGAGUGUGUAUGAAACCAAUCCUCCCAGCCACCCGCUUAGCUUUUUGCAAAUGACUAACAGGUUUUGACAUCCUUGCCCUGAGCAGUCACCUUCGAGCAAACACACGAGCCAGAUCUGCCUGUAGCUCUCCAAGCCUCUUUCUCUUCUUGCUUCCUUCAUUCAAAAAAAUAUUUACUGACUACCCAAAGAGGGCCACCCUGGGUCUCAGUGCUGGGGAUACAGCGAUGAACAAGACAAUGUCCCUACAAGCACAGAGCUUACUUUUUAGUGAGGAGAGAGAAGACAAAGGACAAAUAAGCAAACCAGGCUAAUUCCAGAGAGUGGUAAGUGUUAUAAAACAUAAAACAGGUUGUCCUUCCAGCAUUCUAGGGAGGUGACAUCUCAGCUGAGAUCCGAAGGAUCGGAAGGAACCAGGCCCUUUCCCAGUGUUUGAUUUAGAGGUGAGUGCAAAACCCAACCCCAGACCAAUGAAACAGAAAGGAAAGUCUGCUAGGGUGGGAGUGUUCUGGCAAGGAUUUUACUCUCUGAUUAAAAGAGAGACAGCAAGGAGUCCUGUCCUAUAGUCCCACUUUGUAGGGAGAUGCGACGUCUGGAGCUGUGGCAGCCAUGUUGAGACUAUGAGGCAACAAGGCCAAAGACAUGAAGAGGACAGAAGAGGAGGCUUGAAAGAUCCUGGGACCUUGGAUGACACUGUUGUACUAAAAACCAGCCCCUGGACUCCCCUGCUUUGGACUUCAUGUUAUGUGAGAAUUAAAUGUUUCUAUUGCAUAAGCCACUGUCAGUCAGAAAUGUGAUUCCUCAUAAUGAAACCAUUUUAAUUCACAUUCAAAUGAUCAGGACUCUAAGCUACUAAGAAUUAUAGUAGGCUUUCCUGGUCUCUGAAAUAUCCAGAUAAGUGGCCUGCAAUCAGAAGUCUAUGGAUAGUAUCUGUCUCGAGGGCAGAUCAGAAAUGUGGCUUUCAGAUGGUCUGAUUUUCACCAAGCAGGAACAUCUCCAAGGCUUCUGUGAGCUAACAGUUUUUUCAAUCUCUUUUCAAAAAGUUCCAGGCCAGGCAGGAUGGCUCACGCCUGUAAUCCCAGCACUUUUGGAGGGUCGCUUGAGCCCAGGAGUUUGAGACCAGCUUGGGCAACAUAGCAAGAUCCCAUCUCUACCAAAAAAAAAAAAAAAAAAAAUUAGCUGGUGUGGUGGCCUAUGCCUGUAGUCCCAUCUACUUGGGAGGCUGAGGUGGGAGAAUCACUUGAGCUUGGGAGGUUGAGGUUGUAGUGAACUGAGACUGUGCCACUGCACUCCAGCCUGAGUGACAGUGCAAGACCCUGUCUCAAAAACAAAAAAGCUCCUCUUCU